GGUCCUGUGAUCUAGCGGUUAGGAUGCCAGAUUUUGAGGAGACUCGAACCUUCUGGUCGCCCCGGUUCAAACCCGGGCAGGACCU
rnacentral:tRNA from 1 species